GUAAAUUGAACAAGCUUGUUGGAACAUCCCUCCAACUCUAGACAUAAAUAGAUUAAAGAAAAAGACUUGUAAAAAAUUAGUUUUUAUUUUUUCUAAUACGGCUCAAGAUCUCUAUUUGUUGUUCAAUAAUCCAAGUUUUACCUUCCUCUGUAGGUGCCGAUUGAGGAUCCAUCAACAUUAUUUCUUGCUCGCGUUGUUUUCGUUGAUGUUCUUGUUUUGCUGCAAUUUUU
rnacentral:lncRNA from 1 species